rnacentral:misc_RNA from 1 species
AUCGUCAUCUUCUUCUUCAGCAGCUGAGGCCUUACUGUCAGCAACAGGGGGAGUUGCCACAGCUUCAGUGAUAGGUGCAGAUCCCUCUACAAUAACACCAGCACCUUCACCGGAUACACCAGAGAUUCUCAGAAGAGCAUCAAUAUGCUUAUACCACCUAGACGCAUUAACAUAUUCAGCUGAUGGGGAUUUUGCUAGAUAUGAAUACACAGUGAUAUCAUCCUUUGAGGCUUGGUACCCAGUGAUGUAACUGCGGGCCAAGAGGUACUCAUCAAGCUUCUUGAGGCCAGAGUCAGAGUUGAGGUUGUGGAAUGCAACAGCCAUUGCUUUAGGACAAUGUAAGCUUUUCGACGGUUGCUGCUGCUCUGUUGAUAACGGAGAGGAACUGGAGGCGUCGAGCAGUACGGCGGCGAAAAGCUUACAUUGUC